GAUGAACGCUGGCGGCGUGCCUAAUACAUGCAAGUCGAGCGAACGGAUGAGAAGCUUGCUUCUCUGAUGUUAGCGGCGGACGGGUGAGUAACACGUGGAUAACCUACCUAUAAGACUGGGAUAACUUCGGGAAACCGGAGCUAAUACCGGAUAAUAUUUUGAACCGCAUGGUUCAAAAGUGAAAGAUGGUCUUGCUAUCACUUAUAGAUGGAUCCGCGCCGCAUUAGCUAGUUGGUAAGGUAACGGCUUACCAAGGCAACGAUGCAUAGCCGACCUGAGAGGGUGAUCGGCCACACUGGAACUGAGACACGGUCCAGACUCCUACGGGAGGCAGCAGUAGGGAAUCUUCCGCAAUGGGCGAAAGCCUGACGGAGCAACGCCGCGUGAGUGAUGAAGGUCUUCGGAUCGUAAAACUCUGUUAUUAGGGAAGAACAUAUGUGUAAGUAACUGUGCACAUCUUGACGGUACCUAAUCAGAAAGCCACGGCUAACUACGUG
rnacentral:rRNA from 1 species